UCAACCCCCCUUCAAUCUUGGGAAAAAUUUUGUCUGAAACAGAGCGAAGUUUCCCAAGAAAGCGACCUAGACCUUGAAUUUUUCUUUAAGAGACGUUCCGAUCAUUUGGAAGCAGAAAGGAGGUGAGAUAGUUGGGAGUCAGAGCAGGGGAGUAGCUUGCAGAGGUUCUCAGCAAGACUGCUGCAGUGAGGGGUGGCUCUGCUCCCGGCCGAGGCCCUGAGCCGCGUCUCCGGGAGGCCCGGCCCGGCCCGAGGCGGUCCCGACGGCCCUCAUUCCGCCGGUGAAGAGCCUGGGGACUGAGGAAAGGGCCGCCCCGGCCGCCGUUUACCCGCAGGGCUUUGGCCCGAGGCCCGCUCUCACUUCUACCAAGUUCAGCGUUCUUUGCAGCAGCAGGAGAGAGAGCGGAGUCGGGUGCCAGGGCUCAGACGCCCUGGGCACAGCCUGAGAGUCUGAGAGAAGAGAGAAACAGAAAAGCCGGACUCAGGAGGUGAGCAGCAGUCUCAGCCUCCCGCGACCCCAGCCUCCUCCUCCCUCUGCCAGCAGGGUCGGCAGCAGAGGACGGGCCAGGUUUUCCCCUAAAUAGGAGGUUCUUCUUAUUUGGAACUCUGGGAUUCCAGGCCCUGGAUGUGCUUCCUUCCCCAGGUUAAGAAGUUUCCAGCAAUUAUUUCUUCAAGUAACUUUUCUGCCCGUUUCCCUUCUCCUUCUGGGACCCCUGUAAUGUGGAUGUUAUUCUGCUUCGUGUUCCCCAUAAGCCCCUUAUGCUAUCUUAGUAUUCGAGUUUAUUACUCACAUCAGGUUAUUUUGGAAAAUUGGCUAAAAUGAGAAAUGAUAAGGUUAAAGCCACAUCGAUCUGUUCAUCCAGUCUCAUGACACGAGCUGCGUGUGACUUUAAAGGCCUGAGCUCAGGUACUAUUUUAACCACGUACCGACUAUUUCUCUAGCAAUGAGGACAGAAGACACUCAGCAGAAUGGAUUGUUCCUGUUCGCUGAUACACAACACGAUUCAGUCGGAAAGCAACUGAAGGGUGUCUUCAAUUCGUGCUGCAGAUUUGCAAAUCAGCUACUGUUAUGUGCAGCUUGAAGGAAGAAGGAGCCCUUCACCCAAACCCAGAACCACUCCACACAAAAACACAGCUGUGCUCCAAAAGGAGAAGUCUGGGGACACCCUGUAAGCUGCAUCCCACCGAACCUGAGGUCGUGUCUCAUCUGCGCUUCUCCUGGGGCCAUUCAAGGGUCAGACUGGCCAUGGAGUAAGCACCAUUAUAGGCCUUCAAGAAGAUAAGACAAUUUAUUAUUCCCGUCUCAGCCAAAAAUGUUCAUGAAAAUCA